rnacentral:rRNA from 1 species
ACUCAAAUGAAUAGACGGGGGCCCGCACAAGCGGUGGAGCAUGUGGUUUAAUUCGACGCAACGCGCAGAACCUUACCAGCCCUUGACAUGUCCGGGACCGGCACCAGAGAUGGAGCCUUCUCUUCGGAGUCCGGAACACAGGUGCUGCAUGGCUGUCGUCAGCUCGUGUCGUGAGAUGUUGGGUUAAGUCCCGCAACGAGCGCAACCCCCGUCCUUAGUUGCUACCAUUUAGUUGAGCACUCUAAGGAGACUGCCGGUGAUAAGCCGCGAGGAAGGUGGGGAUGACGUCAAGUCCUCAUGGCCCUUACGGGCUGGGCUACACACGUGCUACAAUGGCGGUGACAAUGGGACGCUAAGGGGCAACCCUUCGCAAAUCUCAAAAAGCCGUCUCAGUUCGGAUUGGGCUCUGCAACUCGAGCCCAUGAAGUUGGAAUCGCUAGUAAUCGUGGAUCAGCAUGCCACGGUGAAUACGUUCCCGGGCCUUGCACACACCGCCCGU